UUUAGCGGGAAUGAUAAUUUUUAAAUUAUGAAGCUAUGACAGUUGUAAAGUUCAAUACGUAAAAUAAAAAAUUGAUAUAUUUAAAAGAACCCCAGGCUAACAACGUGCCAGCAGCUGCGGUAAGACGUUGAGGGGGAAGCGUUACUGGUCGUGAUUGGGUGUAAAAGUAACUAAACGGUUUAAUAGAUAUUUAUUAUUAGUUUUUUUAAUUAACUCUCUAUAAUUAUACAUUAAUACUAGAAUUUAUAAAAUGUAAAUAACAUGAUAAUAGAAAAGAUGAAAUUUGUUUAUAGUAUUAUUAUAUUAUCAGCUGUACGACGAUUUUACAAUUAUAUAUUGACGUUGAAUUACUGGAGUAUAGGUAUCGAUGUGGAUUUGAGACCCAAGUAGUCUAUACCGUGAAUUAUGAAUGCUUAUUUUAAUUAACAUUUCAAGCAUUUUACCUGAAAAGUACGGCUGCAAAGGCAAAAUUUAAAGAGAUUGGCG
rnacentral:rRNA from 1 species